GGGAAUGUAGCUUAGUGGUAAAGUGUUUGCCUAAUAUGCAUGAAUUUCUGGGUUCAAUUCCUCAGUACCA
rnacentral:tRNA from 1 species